rnacentral:rRNA from 1 species
UGGGGAAUUUUGGACAAUGGGCGAAAGCCUGAUCCAGCCAUGCCGCGUGCAGGAUGAAGGCCUUCGGGUUGUAAACUGCUUUUGUACGGAACGAAAAGACUCUUUCUAAUAAAGAGGGUCCAUGACGGUACCGUAAGAAUAAGCACCGGCUAACUACGUGCCAGCAGCCGCGGUAAUACGUAGGGUGCAAGCGUUAAUCGGAAUUACUGGGCGUAAAGCGUGCGCAGGCGGUUAUGUAAGACAGAUGUGAAAUCCCCGGGCUCAACCUGGGAACUGCAUUUGUGACUGCAUAGCUAGAGUACGGUAGAGGGGGAUGGAAUUCCGCGUGUAGCAGUGAAAUGCGUAGAUAUGCGGAGGAACACCGAUGGCGAAGGCAAUCCCCUGGACCUGUACUGACGCUCAUGCACGAAAGCGUGGGGAGCAAACAGG